rnacentral:rRNA from 1 species
GACGAACGCUGGCGGCGUGCUUAACACAUGCAAGUCGAACGGAAAGGCCCUGCUUUUGUGGGUUGCUCGAUAGGCGAACGGGUGAGUAACACGUGAGUAAAAUGCACUUAACUUUCGGAUAAAUUCAGGAAACAGGGGCUAAUAUCGGAUAGGAGCUACUGCUGCAUGGUGGGGGAUAGAAAGUUUCGGCGGUUCGGGAUGGUCUCGCGGGUUAUCCGCUUGAUGGUGGGGUAGUGGCUGACAAAGGUUUUGACGGGUAGCCGGCCUGGGAGGGUGACCGGGCACAUGGGGCCUGAGAGACGGCCCAGACGCCUACGGGAGGCAGCAGUGGGGAAUAUUGCAGAGUGGGCGGAAGCCUGAUGCAGCAGUGCUGGGUUCGGGAUAACGGGUUUUGGGGGGAAAACCGCUUUGUCAUUUGAUGAGGAGUGAGUGACGGUAAUUGGUAAAGAAGCAACGGCUAACUACGUG